rnacentral:rRNA from 1 species
UACAGAGGUCCCGAGCGUUGUUCGGAUUCAUUGGGCGUAAAGGGUGCGUAGGUGGCGCUGUAAGUGGGGUGUGAAAUCCCGGGGCUUAACCCCGGGACUGCAUUCCAUACUGCGGUGCUUGAGGACUGGAGAGGAGACUGGAAUUUACGGUGUAGCAGUGAAAUACGUAGAGAUCGUAAGGAAGACCAGUGGCGAAGGCGGGUCUCUGGACAGUUCCUGACACUGAGGCACGAAGGCCAGGGGAGCAAACGGG